AUUGAACGCUGGCGGCAGGCCUAACACAUGCAAGUCGAGCGAGCGGCGGACGGGUGAGGAAUGUCUGGGAAACUGCCUGAUGGGGGGGGAUAACGACUGGAGACGGUAGCUAAUACCGCAUACCCUCAGGUGUGCCCAGAGGGGAGUAGCUAGUAGGUGGGGUAACGGCUCACCUAGGCGACGAUCCCUAGCUGGUCUGAGAGGAUGACCAGCCACACUGGAACUGAGACACGGGCCAGACUCCUACGGGAGGCAGCAGUGGGGAAUAUUGCACAAUGGGCGCAAGCCUGAUGCAGCCAUGCCGCGUGUGUGAAGAAGGCCUUCGGGUUGUAAAGCACUUUCAGCGGGGAGGCGUUACCCGCAGAAGAAGCACCGGCUAACUCCGUGCCAGCAGCCGCGGUAAUAC
rnacentral:rRNA from 1 species